GAAAUGCGAUAAGUAGUGUGAAUUGCAGAAUUUAGCGAAUCAUCGAAUCUUUGAAUGCACAUUGUGCCCCUUGGUAUUCCAUGGGGCAUGCCUGUUCGAGCGUCAUUUCAACCCUCAAGCACUGCUUGGUGUUGGGCGUUUGUCCCGCCUACGCGCGUGGACUCGCCUCAAAGUCAUUGGCGGCUGUUCCCCUUCGGCUCGUAAGCGCAGCACAGUCGGCGCCCGGAGCUCUGGUGGGAUGGCGUCCAGCAAGCUAUAUUUUCAGGCUUGACCUCGGAUCAGGUAGGGAUACCCGCUGAACUUAAGC
rnacentral:misc_RNA from 1 species